ACCCUUUCUCCUUUCAUAAGCAUGACAAUUGGGUGUACACACAUUUGUAUGAUGUGUGCCUCCACUAAAUCUUGUUACACACUUGGCAUAUUACCUAGAUAAAC